GAUGAAGAACGCAGCGAAAUGCGAUACUUGGUGUGAAUUGCAGAAUCCCGUGAACCAUCGAGUCUUUGAACGCAAGUUGCGCCCGAAGCCAUUAGGCCGAGGGCACGCCUGCCUGGGCGUCACACGUCGUUGCCCCCCCAUCUACUCCUUCGGGAUUGCGGGGGGCGGAUGAUGGCCUCCCGUGCGCCUCGCCGCGCGGUUGGCAUAAAUGCCAAGUCCUCGGCGACGCACGCCACGACAAUCGGUGGUUGCGAAACCUCGGUUGCCCGUCGUGUGCGGUCGUCGCGCAUCGAGGGCUCGAAAAAAUUGCCGGGUUCCGGCUCGGCUUUCAACGCGACCCCAGGUCAGGCGGGGUUACCCGCUGAAUUUAAGCAUAUCAAUAAACGAGGA
rnacentral:misc_RNA from 1 species